rnacentral:rRNA from 1 species
GUUUGAUCCUGGCUCAGGAUGAACGCUGGCGGCGUGCCUAAUACAUGCAAGUCGAACGAGGUGCCUUUGUAGCAAUACGAGGGUAUCCUAGUGGCGAACGGGUGAGUAACGCGUUGGUGACCUGCCCCGAAGUGUGGGAUAACAGUCCGAAAGGACUGCUAAUACCGCAUGCGGCCAUCGGGUUUAGAAACCGAUGUCCAAAGCAGCAAUGCGCUUUAGGAGGGACCUGCGUCCCAUCAGCUAGUUGGUAGGGUAACGGCCUACCAAGGCGACGACGGGUAGGGGACCUGAGAGGGUGACCCCCCACAAUGGAACUGAAAUACGGUCCAUACACCUACGGGUGGCAGCAGUAGGGAAUAUUGCACAAUGGGCGAAAGCCUGAUGCAGCAACGCCGCGUGCACGAUGAAGGUCUUCGGAUCGUAAAGUGCUUUUCUGGGAGAUGAGAAAGGACAGUAUCCCAGGAAUAAGUCUCGGCUAACUACGUGCCAGCAGCCGCGGUAAAACGUAGGAGGCAAGCGUUAUCCGGAUUCACUGGGCGUAAAGCGCGUGCAGGCGGUUCGGUAAGUUGGGCGUGAAAUCUCCUGGCUUAACUGGGAGAGGCCGUUCAAUACUACCGGACUAGAGAGCAGUAGAGGAAGAUGGAAUUCCCGGUGUAGUGGUGAAAUGCGUAGAUAUCGGGAGGAACACCAGUGGCGAAGGCGAUCUUCUGGACUGUUUCUGACGCUCAGACGCGAAAGCUAGGGUAGUAAACGGGAUUAGAGACCCCGGUAAUCCUAGCCGUAAACGAUGUGAACUUGGCGUCGGUAGCUUAAACACUAUCGGUGCCGCAGCAAACGCGAUAAGUUCACCGCCUGGGGACUACGAUUGCAAGAUUAAAACUCAAAGGAAUUGACGG